GCACCCGAUCGUGAACUUUCUAUACAUACCCAUUGACUUUAUCUUAUGUUACAUCAGCCAGACUGUAGUCCAUAUUUGACAUAAUGAAGAUUUCUGGACCAAGAGUUCUUGAUCUUGAACUAUCUAUACAUUCUCAUUGAAUCCUGAUUUUAUUUCGGCCAUACAUUUUCUGGCCAAGAGUAUUCGAUAUUGAAUUGUAUACUCUUUGACCCCUACUGAUAUCACAUCAGCCAUACAGUAGUCCAUAUCUGACCUAAUAAAGAUUUUUCUGGCCCAAGAGCACUUGAUCUUGAAAUUUCUAUACAUACUCAUUGACUCCUUCUAAUGUUACUUCAGCCAUACAGAUGUCCAUAUUAGACCAACUGAACAUUUUUCUGGGAAAUUAGUCUUCGAUCAUGAACUUUCUAUACACACUCAUUGACUUUGUCUGAUAUUACGUCAGCCAGACAGUAAUCAAUAUUUGACCUAUGGAACAAAUUUCUGGCCAAAAAGUACUUGAUCAUGAACUUUAUAUACAUGCCUCACUCUAAUGUUGCUUCAGCCAUAGAGUAUUGCAUAUUUGACCUAAUGGACAUAUGUCUAAGGAAAAUAGUCCUCUAUCAUGAACUUUCUAUACAUGCUCAUUGACUGCUUCUGAUGAUACGUCAGCCAUAGAAUAUUGCACAUUUGACCUAAAGGUCAUAUAUAUGGCCCAAGAGUACUCCGUCUUGAACUUUUCAUACAUUACCAUUUACUGCUUCUGAUGUUACUUCACCCAUACAGAAGUCCAUAUUAGACAUACUGAAUAUAUUUCUGGAAAAUUAGUACUCAAUCUUGAACAUUCUACACAUAUGUUUAUUCGAUCUUGAACUGUUUUACAGUACUAUUGACUCCUACUGAUGUUGCUUCACCCACACAGAAGUCAACAUUAGACCUACUGAGCAUCGUUCUGGGCAAAGACAAUUGGAUAUUGAACUUUUUAUGUAUACUCAUUGACACCUUCUGAUAUUAAAUAAGCUAUACAGAAGUCCAUGUUUGACCUCUUGAACUUAUUUCUGGCAAAUUAGUCCUCGAUCAUGAACUUCCUACACAUACUUAUUGACUCCAUCUGAUGUUAGAUAAGCCAGACAGUAGUCCAUAUUUGACUGACUGAACAUAUUUCUGGCCAAAAGAGUAUUCAACACUGUUUUUUAUAUACUCAUUGAUGCCUUCUGAUGUCACAUCAGCCAUCUAGAAGUCUAUAUUUGACCUAACUGAACAUAUUUUUGGAAAAAAAAAAAAGAAGUACUCGAUCUUGAACUUUCUAUACAAACUCACGGACUCCUGAUUUUAUUUCAGCCAUAAAGAAAUCGAUAUUAGACCUACUAAAAAAAAAAAAAAAAAAAAAAAAAUUGUCUCCAGAGUCCUCGAUCAUGAAUUUUGUAUACUCUUGCUCUUUGCUUCACUCUGAUGUUACUUCAGCCAUACAUGAGCCCGUGUUUGACCUGCUGAAAACAUUUCUGGUAAAGUAAUCCUCAAUCAUGAAGUUGCUAUACUGACUCACUGACAUCAAACAGACAGCAGUCCAUAUUUGACCUAAUGAGUAAGAGUACUCGAUCUUGAACUUUCAUAUAAACUCAUUGACUGCUUCUGAUUUUAUUUCAGCCAUACAAAAGUCCAUAUUAGACUUGAUUAAA